CGGGUCGUGGCGCGGCCUGGCAGCGCGCUCGCCCCGGGAGCGAGAGGCCGCCGGUUCGCAUCCGGUCGGCCCGA
rnacentral:tRNA from 1 species